AGGAGACACAGAACAGGGUGUUACACGGAGUGUGUGUUUUUAUAAUCGGUGUAUGACUUGUGCUGACGAAUGUGUUUGUCUUUAUCUUCUCAGUGCUGUGCCCAGGAAGUAACGCUGGCAUGGUGAUCUCUAGCAGAAGACAAACUGUGGAAUAAUAGCACGAAUACCCCCUAACACCCACAUGGACAGAAGACUUUGACAACUGUUAAGAACCAACCGACCAAAAAUAAAUAUCAGCUUUGUUUAGGAAUAUCUGUAUUGUUGUUACUGCUGUUUGCAAGAACAGCUGUAUAGUCUGAAUAAAUAUGAAAAUCUCAAAUGAAACACUGAAUUACUACAAUAAAUAUAUAAAAGAGGGCUUUCAAAUAAAUACCUGUGGGCAUGUAACCAAUGUUUUUGAAAAACACUCCAUAUUGUUACCUUUUAUAACAGGCUGCAUGCUAUUUUAUCUUCCUCUCUUCUGCGCCAGUGUUUAAUCCAUGAAGUUUCCCUUUCAUAGUGAUGUAACCUCAACAUGUAAUGACAUCUAGAGAAAAUUAAAAAGAAGCAGGAAUAGAAACUGUAGAGUGAGCCUCCCUCAUGGAUGCAUCAUGGCAAAAGUCAUUCAAAGACUUCAUCAAAUUCAAAAUGAGAUCGUAGGACUCCUCAAGAAGAAGACCUCCACACGGCGGCCGUCUGACGUGGGAUCAAGAGGCUCAGGUAGAAGUGCAGCGGCAGGUAUCCAUCUUUUAUGGCACGUCCUGUGGAUGAUACGUCUGGUCAGAUUGCCCGAGAUAGAUUCAGCGUU